UGGGGAAUCUUGCACAAUGCGCGAAAGCGUGAUGCAGCAACGCCGCGUGCGGGAAGACGGCCUUCGGGUUGUAAACCGCUUUCAGUUGGGACGAAGCUUCGCCGGUGAAUAGCCGGCCGGAGUGACGGUACCUUCAGAAGAAGCCCCGGCUAACUACGUGCCAGCAGCCGCGGUAAUACGUAGGGGGCAAGCGUUGUCCGGAAUCAUUGGGCGUAAAGCGCGUGUAGGCGGCUUGAUAAGUCUGCUCUGAAAGCCCGGGGCUCAACCCCGGGAGGCGGGUGGAUACUGUCAAGCUCGAGUCCGGAAGAGGAGUGUGGAAUUCCUGGUGUAGCGGUGAAAUGCGCAGAUAUCAGGAGGAACACCAAUGGCGAAGGCAGCACUCUGGGACGUGACUGACGCUGAGACGCGAAAGCGUGGGGAGCAAACA
rnacentral:rRNA from 1 species